rnacentral:rRNA from 1 species
UACGAAGGGUGCAAGCGUUACUCGGAAUUACUGGGCGUAAAGCGUGCGUAGGUGGUUCGUUAAGUCUGUUGUGAAAUCCCCGAGCUCAACUUGGGAAUUGCAAUGGAUACUGGCAGGCUGGAGUAUGGUAGAGGAAGGUGGAAUUCCCGGUGUAGCAGUGAAAUGCGUAGAGAUCGGGAGGAACACCAGUGGCGAAGGCGACUUCCUGGCCUGUUCUUGACGCUGAGGCGCGAAAGCUAGGGUAGCAAACGGG